rnacentral:rRNA from 1 species
GAUGAACGCUGGCGGCGUGCCUAAUACAUGCAAGUCGAGCGAACAGACGAGGAGCUUGCUCCUCUGACGUUAGCGGCGGACGGGUGAGUAACACGUGGAUAACCUACCUAUAAGACUGGGAUAACUUCGGGAAACCGGAGCUAAUACCGGAUAAUAUAUUGAACCGCAUGGUUCAAUAGUGAAAGACGGUUUUGCUGUCACUUAUAGAUGGAUCCGCGCCGCAUUAGUUAGUUGGUAAGGUAACGGCUUACCAAGGCGACGAUGCGUAGCCGACCUGAGAGGGUGAUCGGCCACACUGGAACUGAGACACGGUCCAGACUCCUACGGGAGGCAGCAGUAGGGAAUCUUCCGCAAUGGGCGAAAGCUUGACGGAGCAACGCCGCGUGAGUGAUGAAGGUCUUCGGAUCGUAAAACUCUGUUAUUAGGGAAGAACAAAUGUGUAAGUAACUAUGCACGUCUUGACGGUACCUAAUCAGAAAGCCACGGCUAACUACGUG